CACAAACAGUGAAAGUGAAAGCUUCAGAGACUUGGUGAGGAGAAGCAAACACCCUGGCUCAGUUGCCAUCUGACUGAAGAGCGGUGAGGAUGUCUAUCCUGUUCCAGGUGUUUGUAGAAGGGGUGGAGGGCAGAAAAAGCAUCAUAGAUGUGGCAAAUGAAGAGCAGGAAUUCAACAAUAUGACCACUGACAAAUUCAUGGAGAUGGUGGCAGCCAAACUCCUGAAGAGGCCAGGUUACCAACAAUUUAGUUUGCUGUACGCUAACCAACAAGUGGAAAGAGGGAAGAAAUUCUCAGAUUAUUUUAUCAGAAACAAGUCUAUCUUCGUCAUGGUUAUACAGCUGCCUGGAGGAGGGGGUAACAUGUUGACUUAAUGAAGGACUCCGUUUUCACAUAAGAAAUGAUGUGCAUUGGGGCCUACCCUGGAUUUGGUUAUCAUUUGCCUGGAAAGAAACCAGAGAGGGGAGUGGUGAUGAGCCUCAAGGGUUACUGUCACACCCAGGUUUCAAAGUAGCAGCCAUGUUAGUCUGUAUCUGAAGAAGUGGGCUGUAGCCCACGAAAGCUUAUGCUGAAAUAAAUGUGUUAGUCUCUAAGGUGCCACAAGUACUCCUGUUCUUUUUGUCACACCCAGAGCUCAGCACACCAGAGGGGACACCCGGACAUCACUGCCAGUCCACCAAGCCACCAGGUUGAUAAACACGAGGAUCCGGCUGUUUUCCUUUCCCUUGUGUGUUCCUUUCCAUCCCCUCUAUCUUCCGCCUGUCCUAUCUCUCUCUCUCUCUGUGUCUUUGAGCUGAUCCUGUAACCAACUGCAAGGCAUGACACCAGCACAAUGGAAUAAGAGAGCCACUCAGUGAAGGACUGGUGAAGAAAAGGACCUGCCGAGACCAGCCAGAUGAUGACCAGGAGCGGGAAAGUGAGUCAGGGUCCAGAACAACAGCUAUCCUGACCGACUUGCCAGUCCAGAGAGCAUCUGUCCAUGACAGACCAGCUGUCUUGUGUCCUGAAAACACCAACAAAAAGCUGUAUUUCUCCCACCUUAUUAUCUGUUCUCUUCCUCCACUUCCCUUUGCAUCUGUUUUGUUAAAAGCAGGGAAAGUAACCACAAAACUCACAGCUCUCAACAAAAGAACGAACCAUCUUCCCCGCUAAGAAAUGAGCCACAAUGAGAGACUCUCACCAAUAUCCUCUCUGAAAAAAGGAACUUCACGUUUUGCUUACGAUUGUUUUGCUUAACGCUCACUUUCAAAAUACUUUGUCUUGUUUUAAAUGCUUUUCUUGGGUAUCCUGAUCAAUAAAUUUCCAAGUUGCAGCGU